AGUGAGGUUCUACAAAAUGAGAUCCAGGCCUGAGAGUUUGCCCUGAACCCGGUGUUAUUCAGUGUGAGUGCUAGUAAUUAGGAGAAGAAAAUCACUUUUGCAGCUAUGAAGAGAGGAGUAAAUGGCUACCUGAUGGCACAGCAGAGAGAUGGUGGUGCUAUGGAUCGUGAAACGAAUGGGAGGCAACAACAUGUUGCUGUGGCAAAAACAGGCAGAAGAUGUUUUGAGGCACAGCAUUAUAGGUCUUUACUCGCUGUGGCUGCUCCGUUUGCAAACCCCGACAGAGGCAGCAGCGUCUGUAAGAUCCCAGUGUGAGGUAAUCAAUGAGAGUCGUGAAAGUGAGCUGAUGUGGAAGGGAGAAAACAAGACCAUUUUGGAUUCAGAGACCCAAAGAACGGUCCUAAUGUGCACACAGCAAAUCACUGGUCAUUCCUGAGAGAAAGCCGGAGGACUCUGGUGCAUAUCGCUGCUCGGUAUGGGCCAGGGUUGGAUAUGUCAUUCAGCAGGCAGAUGUCCUCCUUGCGGUGUCAGGUGAGGUAACAGGACCAAAAGUGAAAUUUCAUAAGCUAAAUAUCCUUAGCUUAUGACUAAAGACUAAAGCUUAUGACUACGACUAAAAUAUAAAGAUAUUUGUAAAGUCUUUAGACUUUACAAGAGGACUUCACAAAAAAUGGGAGCAUCGAGUGUCUGGAGCACUGAGCUUUUGCUCUCUUCCAGCACAAAAUGUAGUGGUUUAAAUAAAACAGUGACAAUUUUGGUCA
rnacentral:lncRNA from 1 species